UCAGACGAUGCGUCAUGCAUAUCAAUAAGCGGAGGAAAAGAAACUAACAAGGAUUCCCCUAGUAACGGCGAGUGAAGCGGGAAGAGCUCAAAUUUGAAAUCUUAAAGGGUUUCCCUUUACGAACUGUAGUUUAAAGAAGUGUUUUCUGUUGAGGUUUUGGUAAAAGUUCUUUGGAAUAGGACAUCAUAGAGGGUGAGAAUCCCGUAUUUGACCUUUACUUUCAACUUUGUGAUACACUUUCAAAGAGUCGGAUUGUUUGGGAAUGCAGUCCAAAAUGGGUGGUAAAUUUCAUCUAAAGCUAAAUAUUGGCGAGAGACCGAUAGCGAACAAGUACCGUGAGGGAAAGAUGAAAAGAACUUUGAAAAGAGAGUUAAACAGUAUCGUGAAAUUGUCAAAAGGGAAGCGUUUGACACCAGUGUUGUUUUUCUGAAAAUCAAUUAAAGAACUGUUUAUGCUAAGCUGUUUAGACUUUAGCAGCUAAUCUGUUUAGUUUUAGGCUUUUCUUUAAUGCACUUUUCAGUUAACAAGUCAACAUCAAUUUCUUUUGCUGUAAAAAAGCUUGAGGAAGGUGGCUUGAGAUUCGUCUUAAGUGUUUAUAGCCUCUUGCCUAUGCAGUCGGAGAGAUUGAGGUCUGCAGCGUAGGAUCCUUCGGGGCUAAAUGCAUUUGUGCUAAGUUAUAGCAUUUUAUAGACAACUUGUUGACUAUGAUUUGUCUUGUAGCUUACUCGCUUAUGUUAUUUUACCUACGCUUAGGAUGUUGACACACGCGCGUGCUCG
rnacentral:rRNA from 1 species